UACGGGGGGGGUAAGCGUUGUUCGGAAUUACUGGGCGUAAAGGGCUCGUGGGCGGCCAACUAAGUCAUACGUGAAAUCCCUCAGCUUAACUGGGGAACUGCGUGUGAUACUGGAUGGCUUGGAUUUGGGAGAGGGAUGCGGAAUUCCAGGUGUAGCGGUGAAAUGCGUAGAUAUCGGGAGGAACACCAGUGGCGAAGGCGGCUUUCUGGCCCAUUCUUGACGCUGAGGCGCGAAAGCUAGGGUAGCAAACGGG
rnacentral:rRNA from 1 species